rnacentral:rRNA from 1 species
UACGUAGGGGGCUAGCGUUAUUCGGAAUCAUUGGGCGUAAAGGGCGUGUAGGCGGCUUCGUGUGUCUUAUGUGAAAGCCCUCGGCUCAACCGGGGAACUGCAUGGGAAACUGCGAAGCUUGAGUCCGGGAGAGGAGAGUGGAAUUCCCAGUGUAGCGGUGAAAUGCGUAGAUAUUGGGAGGAACACCAGUGGCGAAGGCGGCUCUCUGGACCGGUACUGACGCUGAGACGCGAAAGCGUGGGGAGCGAACAGG